ACAAACUUGGUCAUUUAGAGGAAGUAAAAGUCGUAACAAGGUUUCCGUAGGUGAACCUGCGGAAGGAUCAUUACUGUGAUUGCCCUCUGCGCGAGCGGAGGAGCAAGCCAUCCUUGUGCUGUGUGUGAAAUGUCGUGCUUGCACACGCAUCUUGUGUGUGUGUGCAUCAUUUUAACCCAUAUUACCACAUCAUGUCUGAUACUCUGCUCAUACGAGCACAAACAACCGAAAACUGCCAGCAACGGAUCACUCGGUUCUCGCAUCGAUGAAGAACGCAGC
rnacentral:misc_RNA from 1 species